rnacentral:piRNA from 2 species
UAUUGAUUUAUUCCAGAGCCAUCAAGA